CCUACUAUGCCUAGCCGUAACACACAAUUAAACUACCAAUUGUCCGCCAAACAACUACGAGCCAUACUUGAAACUUAAAAGACUUGACGGUACUUCAUCACGGCCUAGAGGAGCCUGUCUAAUAACCGACAACCCACGAUUAACCCAACCCCUUCUUGCCCAACAGUCUAUAUACCGCCGUCGCCAGCUUACCUU
rnacentral:rRNA from 1 species